GGACAUAUUUCUCAACAUGGUCUUCCUCUCUAUGACCUAGAAUCUUAAUAGCGGCUCUCAAGGGGACAAACAACUUAGUCUGUGUUAGAGAGGGGACCUAACAUGUAUAUAAACAGAUGUCUUAUUGGAUCCUCCCAUCAUGGGCUUCAAUAAGACCCAAGUCUACACUUAAUCGUCCAACUAGAUUUUUAUAAAACAGAUGCUACAGUCCAAUCCCCCAGGAUCAUAAAUAAAUU
rnacentral:lncRNA from 1 species